CAGUGUGAGUGUUCAGACACACGGGACGGGUGUGUGUGUGUGUGUGUGUGUGUGUGUCUCACGGUGAUCUGCUCCAUCAGGACAGCGUUCAGACACACGGGACGGGUGUGUGUGUGUGUGUGUGUGUGUGUGUGUGUGUCUCACGGUGAUCUGCUCCAUCAAGACAGCGUUCAGACACACGGGACAGGUGUGUGUGUGUGUGUGUGUGUGUGUGUGUCUCACGGUGAUCUGCUCCAUCAGGACAGUGUUCAGACACACGGGACGGGUGUGUGUGUGUGUGUGUGUGUGUGUGUGUGUGUGUGUCUCACGGUGAUCUGCUCCAUCAGGACAGUGUUCAGACACACGGGACGGGUGUGUGUGUGUGUGUGUGUGUGUGUGUGUGUGUGUGUGUGUGUGUGUGUGUGUGUGUGUGUGUGUCUCACGGUGAUCUGCUCCAUCAGGACAGUGUUCAGACACACGGGACAGGUGUGUGUGUGUGUGUGUGUGUGUGUGUGUGUGUGUGUGUGUG